CAAGUCUUGACAUCCCUCUGAAUCCUCUAGAGAUAGAGGCGGCCUUCGGGACAGAGGUGACAGGUGGUGCAUGGUUGUCGUCAGCUCGUGUCGUGAGAUGUUGGGUUAAGUCCCGCAACGAGCGCAACCCUUGAUUUUAGUUGCCAGCAGGUAAGGCUGGGCACUCUAGAAUGACUGCCGGUGACAAACCGGAGGAAGGCGGGGAUGACGUCAAAUCAUCAUGCCCCUUAUGACUUGGGCUACACACGUACUACAAUGGCUGGUACAACGGGAAGCGAAGCCGCAAGGUGGAGCCAAUCCUAUAAAAGCCAGUCUCAGUUCGGAUUGCAGGCUGCAACUCGCCUGCAUGAAGUCGGAAUUGCUAGUAAUCGCGGAUCAGCAUGCCGCGGUGAAUACGUUCCC
rnacentral:rRNA from 1 species